rnacentral:rRNA from 1 species
GAUGAACGCUGACAGAAUGCUUAACACAUGCAAGUCUUUGGCGAAGCUGUGCUUGCACAGCCUAGCCAAGGCGGACGGGUGAGUAACGCGUAAGGAACUUGCCCUGCAGUCAGGGAUAACAGACGGAAACGACUGAUAAGACCUGGUAAAGUCAGGCGGACUCAUGUCCAGCCUGAUGAAAAGAGAUGCUGCAGGAGAGCCUUGCGUCCUAUUAGCUUGUUGGUGGGGUAACGGCCCACCAAGGCGAUGAUAGGUAGCCGGCCUGAGAGGGUGGACGGCCACAAGGGGACUGAGAUACGGCCCUUACUCCUACGGGAGGCAGCAGUAGGGAAUAGUGGACAAUGGGGGCAACCCUGAUCCAGCAAUUCUGUGUGCACGAUGAAGGUUUUCGGACUGUAAAGUGCUUUCAGCAGGGAAGAAAAAAAUGACGGUACCUGCAGAAGAAGCGACGGCUAAAUACGUG